rnacentral:rRNA from 1 species
UACGGGGGGGGCUAGCGUUGUUCGGAAUUACUGGGCGUAAAGCGCACGUAGGCGGCUUUGCAAGUUUAGAGGUGAAAGCCCGGGGCUCAACUCCGGAAUUGCCUUUAAAACUGCAUCGCUAGAAUUGUGGAGAGGUAAGUGGAAUUCCGAGUGUAGAGGUGAAAUUCGUAGAUAUUCGGAAGAACACCAGUGGCGAAGGCGACUUACUGGACACAUAUUGACGCUGAGGUGCGAAAAGCGUGGGGAGCAAACAGG